GAAAGGAUCUUUUCGUAAUUACACAAAGAUGCAAACGGUGUAAACCCUAACCCUAACCCUAACCAUCCCCUGGUUUCUCCCUCUAUAUUAGCCCUUCACCCUCCCUUCUUCCCCCCAACAGCGAUCCCGGAAGUCUCCGGGCUUCCCGAAUGCCCCUUCGAUCAGGUGCUGAAGCAAUUUCUUAUAAAUAUAAUUGCUUCGCACCUAAAGUUGAAAUUGGUAUCUCUAAGCAUAACAAGGUCAUCGGUAUCUCUUGGAAGAAGGGAUACUCACUGUUUGAUCUUAGGAAGAAGGGUUGCUGCUGAUACUGUGGUGCUAUGAGUCUUCUAAGCAGCCUUCUGCUGAUACUGUGGUUCUAUGACUCUGCUAAGCAGCCUUCUUUUAGAGAUUGCACUUGGUGAUGGAUUACUUAUCUAUACUCUCCCUGAUUCCCUUCCUGUCAAGCGUGACUUCCUGGUAGCGUAGAUUCUUUACCGUUUUAUGGUGUCUGUCACUAACUUGAAGGGUUGUUUUCAGAUCAAUUUUUAAUUUGUGUUUGAUGUGUAUAUCAGGGGCAUGGGGCUGAGUUGUGAGCUUUGUAAAUUUCUUUUCCGUCUGCUGUUGAAUCUAUGGUAAUUGUGAGAUUUACAUCCUUAUGAUGUGAAUUAGACCAUUUGGAAUUUGAAUGAUGUUUUCUAUUAAAGCUUUCAUUUGCACC